AGGAAGGUAGUGACGUCAUAGGUAAACAGGCUCUGUAUCCGUGGCAGCGGCCGUGGCAGGCUGGCUGGGUACCGGCUGCCGCUGACCCAGGAGAAGCUGCCUGUCUACAUCAGCCUGGGCUGCAGCGCGCUGCCGCCGCGGGGCCGGCAGCUGAACUAUGUGCUCUUCAGGGCGGGCACCGUGUUGCAUUCAUCUUUGUACCCCCAGCAUCUAGCAGUGUUGGCAUGUAGUAGGCACUCAAGAAAUGUGUGUUGAAUGAACGAUGCCUGUGACAAGCAAGCGGACUUUAUUCUUUCCUGACCCUUGCUCCUAUGACACACCUCCUCCUGACUGCCACUGUCACUCCUUCAGAGCAGAACUCCUCUAGGGAACCUGGAUGGGAAACAGCCAUGGCCAAGGACAUCCUGGGUGAAGCAGGGCUACACUUUGAUGAACUGAACAAGCUGAGGGUGUUGGACCCAGAGGUUACCCAGCAGACCAUAGAGCUGAAGGAAGAGUGCAAAGACUUUGUGGACAAAAUUGGCCAGUUUCAGAAAAUAGUUGGUGGUUUAAUUGAGCUUGUUGAUCAACUUGCAAAAGAAGCAGAAAAUGAAAAGAUGAAGACUGACACAGCUCCCAGAUAACCCCUCCCCACUUCGAGGACUUGAUGCUGUAGAUGGUUUUAAUGAAGCCAUGGCCUUCUCUGGCAAUACUGUAGGCCAUCGGUGCUCGGAACUUGCUCAAAUCUAUAGCAAAGCAGAGAGAAGCUCAACAGCAGCAACUUCAAGCCCUAAUAGCAGAAAAGAAAAUGCAGCUAGAAAGGUAUCGGGUUGAAUAUGAAGCUUUGUGUAAAGUAGAAGCAGAACAAAAUGAAUUUAUUGACCAAUUUAUUUUUCAGAAAUGAACUGAAAAUUUCGCUUUUAUAGUAGGAAGGCAAAACAAAAAAAAAGCCUCUCAAAACCAAAAAAACCUCUGUAGCAUUCCAGCGGCUUGACCAAUGACCUAUGUCACAAGAGGUGGCGUGUAAGGAAUGCAGCCCCCUGAAGACGGCACUACAAGUCUGGGGGAGCCAGUUUUAACAUCAGUGCACAGCUGCUGCUGGUGGCCCUGCAGUGUACGUUCUCACCUCUUAUGCUUAGUUGGAACUAAGCAGUUUGUAAACUUUCAUCCUUUUUUUUGUAAAUUCACAAAGCUUUGGAAGGAGAAGCAAUAAAUUUUUGUUUUCAAAUGG